GCUCGUCGUGUGCGGGAAAUCCGCAGGCACGAUGGGAACAUCAAUUCUAAGUUUCUAGAAGAUAAU
rnacentral:autocatalytically_spliced_intron from 1 species